UCAAACACUAAAGCUCUACGUACCUUAAUAUCGUUACUUCCCCUAAUUAAAAAUUAGAAAAAACAUUUUUCCUGUCAAGUAUAGGUGAUAAAAAAACAAUUAAAAGCUUUAAAUUAGUACCGCAAGGGAACUAUGAAAUAUAAAUUUAACAAAAAAGAAUAAAAAAGCAAAGAUUAAAUCUUGUACCUUUUGCAUCAUGGUCUAGCAAGUCUAAUUAAGCUAAAUGAGCUUAUGCUUAAACCCCCGAAACUAGAUGAGCUACUUCAGAAUAGCCUCAUGGGCCAACCCCCGUCUGUAGCAAAAGACCGGGAAAAUUCUUUAGUAGGGGCGACAAACCUAACGAACCUAGAUAUAGCUGGUUACUAAUAAAAAGAAUUUUAGUUCUACCUAAAGUUUUCUGUUGACCUCCAACACGCACAAAAACUUUAGAGCUAUUCAAAUAAGGUACAGCUUAUUUGAAAAAGGACACAACCUAAAAAGCAGGGUAAUUUCUCUUCUGGAACCUAGUAGGCCUAAAAGCAGCCACCCUAAAAGCGUUAAAGCUUCAUUCCACUCUAUUUUUCAAUUCAUUCUUAUCUUAAAAACCCUUAACUCCUAUUUAGUACUUCCAUAUAAAUAUGGAACUUAUUAUGCUAGAACUAGUAAUAAGAAGACGACCUUCUCCACUAUGUAAGCUUAAACCAGAAUAAACAAAUUACUGGAAAUUACCGUCAUUUAACCCACAGAAUCAACUUUCCAAGAAAACCUUUCUAAACAUGACGUUAACCUAACACAAGAACAUAACUGGAAAAAUUAAAAAAAGAGGAAGGAACUCGGCAAAGCUGGUCCCGCCUGUUUACCAAAAACAUCGCCUCUUGAAGACUAAUAAGAGGCCUAGCCUGCCCACUGAUAAAUUUAACGGCCGCGGUAUUCUGACCGUGCGAAGGUAGCACAAUCACUUGUCCUUUAAAUAAGGACUAGUAUGAACGGCAUCACGAGGACUUAACUGUCUCCCUCUUUUAAUUAAUGAAACUGAUCCCCCCGUGAAAAAGCGGGGAUAAAAAUAUAAGACGAGAAGACCCCAUGGAGCUUUAAACCUAAGCUAACUGUUUUUUAUUUACCACAGGAAAAAACAACUAUAGUCUUCUGAUUUUUGGUUGGGGCAACCACGGAGAACAAAAAACCCUCCGUAAUAAACUAAGCCUAGAAAAACCUUUCUAAACAUCAAGAACUUGAUAUUUAUUGACCCAUCUUAUGUUUGAUCAAUGAACCAAGUUACCCUGGGGAUAACAGCGCAAUUCAUUAUUAGAGUUCCUAUCGACUAAUGAGUUUACGACCUCGAUGUUGGAUCAGGGUAUCCAAGUGGUGCAGCCGCUACUAAAGGUUCGUUUGUUCAACGAUUAAAA
rnacentral:rRNA from 1 species